rnacentral:misc_RNA from 1 species
GAUGAAGAACGUAGCGAAAUGCGAUAAGUAGUGUGAAUUGCAGAAUUCAGUGAAUCAUCGAAUCUUUGAACCCACAUUGCGCCCCAUGGUAUUCCGUGGGGCAUGCCUGUUCGAGCGUCAUUUACCCCCUCAAGCUCCGCUUGGUGUUGGGCGUCUGUCCCGCUUCGCGCGCGGACUCGCCCCAAAGGUAUUGGCAGCGGUCGUGCCAGCUUCUCGCGCAGCACAUUGCGCUUCUCGAGGCACCGGUGGGCCCGCGUCCAUCAAGCUCACCCCCCCAGUUUGACCUCGGAUCAGGUAGGGAUACCCGCUGAACUUAAGCAUAUCAAUAAGCGGAGGA